rnacentral:rRNA from 1 species
AUUCCGGUUGAUCCUGCCGGAGGCCAUUGCUAUUGGAGUUCGAUUUAGCCAUGCUAGUUGUACGAGCUUAGACUCGUAGCGGAAAGCUCAGUAACACGUGGCCAAACUGCCCUAUAGAUCAGAAUACUCUCGGGAAACUGAGGCUAAUACUGAAUAACGCUCCCCUGCUGGAACUGCAGGGAGCCGGAAACGCUCCGGCGCUAUAGGAUGUGGCUGCGGCCGAUUAGGUAGACGGUGGGGUAACGGCCCACCGUGCCGAUAAUCGGUAC